GUUCUACCUGUAAUUGGGUCUUCACGUGAAGCAGGCCAUGUGGCAUCAAUACAUGAAGCCAGCGUUCACUUUGGAAUUUAUGUGCCUUCGCACCAUGUGUUUUUGGCUUUUAAAUUGAUUAUGCAAGCCACCCCAUUUCAUGUGCGUCUAGGAUUAUUCUCCUUUCAGCCACGCGAUGCUUACCCACUUUUAUGGCAUAGUUAGGUUCACCGUCCCAACCCUACACCUUCAAUGGUUUCUUCCUUCCCUUCUUCCUACCCUUAGCCUCUAGGGUUCCAACUUUCUGUUAGGACCAUAUUGUCAGACGACUUCUUCUUCCAUUUGCUUUUUCAUCUGCCUUCCUUCACUAUAAAAGAUAGGCCAACCUCUUGUAAAACUUAGCUUUGAUUAAUAGAGUGGAAUUAUCCCCGUUCUUCAGAGCUCACCUUCAACCUCUAGUUGAGGUUUCACACCUCCUAGGGUUUCCUAAACUAUGAGAACCCGAGAGAGCUUCUUUGUGGAAUUAAAUCAAGUUCCACCAAACGAUUUGGUUUUCCACUACGAGUUUCCUUCAAUUCCACUAAGGAAUCGACGAUUGGAGGUGGAUUGGACUGAGAUUCCAAUAAAUCUGCACGAUGCCGACCGCAUCACCCAUUCAUCUUCUUGCCCAUCUCUUGCUUCCUUCCACCAAGCAAUGUUUUUAUUGUCCCAAUUGAGUAGGUGGAUACUCCCAAGACUACUGCAGUGGGAAAAAAGAAGAGAUUAAAUCGUAGGUCUUCCUCCCAUGCUCCUUAGUUGGACUAUAUGGAGGUAGAAUUUGUGGAGAAUUAUGACCAGCAUAGGUUCGCAUUUGAGGAUGCUGCCAAUCAAUUUAUAGAGAUUGUGCCUCGAAGCUUCAUUCCAGAGCAAAAAGUGAAGCUUAAUCUGGGGGAGUUUGAUUAAUUCUAACUUGAGCUAAAGGGGGGAAAUGGCAUUGGAUACUAGGGGAUCUCCCUAAUGAGAUAGAUAAGGCAUUGAUGAAAGAAUUAUAUGCCAAUGCCUAUUAGAAAGUCAGAACUAAGCCCCGUCAAGCUAAGGUGCGAGGUAAGACAAUCAAAUAUGACAAGUGCACCUUAAACACUUUUCUGAGGAUAACUUGUGCUCGUCCUAGCCAGGAUACUCCAUUCAGUGCAUUCAUGAAUGGCCACAAAGAUUUUGAUGAGAUUGCCUCGGUCUUAUGUCUUCAUGGCCACACUUUUGUGUUAGGUGUUAAUGGCACGCCUGUUCUGCUCGUCAAAAAACACUUGAAGUCAUUGGCUCAAAUUUGGAGUGCAUUCUCUUACACCAACCUCUGCCCCAACACCCACACUUUUGAUAUGAAAUUGGAGAGGGCUUAUCUCAUUUUUGGGAUAAUCACUAAGCUGGACAUGGAUGUUAGUGCACUUAUUUCGCAAGAUAUAGCCUAUACUGUUGAUGUUAUCAAUGUAAACUUGGGCUUUCCUCCCAUAAUCACAGCAUUUUGCAGGGAGAAUGGCCUUGUUUUUGACACUCAUGUGUUGUUAUCUCUCGCUCCUCCCCUGGAUAGGAAAUUCUUGAACAAAAACUACACCAACAGGGUAGUUGAUGCCCCUGCUCCUACACAUCCAUGCCACCCACAUCGUUCCUGAAUUGUUUCUGUUAAUUUUGUGGCAACUUUCCAGACCCCCAUGGCCAAGAUGUUUGCCCGAUAGGAUGAUAUGUGAUAUGCUCACAACGCAGUCUACUAUGGGCAAGUGUCCCUCAUGGAUAACAUGCACUAGCUGUCUUUGGGUAUUGCAGACUUUCCUGACGGUGCUAUCAUGAUAGGUACCCAAUUUGAGGCACUUAUUCCUUGGCCUGAGGGUAAGCCUGCAUCUCAGUCGCGGGAUGAUUUGCUUGAUGUUGAUAAUGAUGAUGAGGAAGAGCAAGAGUACGAAGAGCAACAACAACAACAACAAUAAGAACAAUGUAUGCAGAUGAUGUAGAAAAUGUCAAUAUCCAAAAUGUGAUACUAAAUGAAGGGUCCUCCGCUAUUGAAUCAAAUGUUAUAAGCAUGGAAGAUGAAGAACAAUAGACUAUGACCAUGAAGAUGAAGAUGUUUCUUGGACUGUUUGUUUUAUUUGGACUAUUGUUUAGUUUUGGCCUAUUUUUUAUGACAUUGCACUUGUUUCGAUUAUCCAUGACUUGAUUUUAUAAAGUGUUUUCUUAUUCUUUAUUGCACUUGA